rnacentral:rRNA from 2 species
UUACAGAUGGACCCGCGGCGCAUUAGCUAGUUGGUGAGGUAACGGCUCACCAAGGCGACGAUGCGUAGCCGACCUGAGAGGGUGAUCGGCCACACUGGGACUGAGACACGGCCCAGACUCCUACGGGAGGCAGCAGUAGGGAAUCUUCCGCAAUGGACGAAAGUCUGACGGAGCAACGCCGCGUGAGUGAUGAAGGUUUUCGGAUCGUAAAGCUCUGUUGUUAGGGAAGAACAAGUGCAAGAGUAACUGCUUGCACCUUGACGGUACCUAACCAGAAAGCCACGGCUAACUACGUGCCAGCAGCCGCGGUAAUACGUAGGUGGCAAGCGUUGUCCGGAAUUAUUGGGCGUAAAGGGCUCGCAGGCGGUUUCUUAAGUCUGAUGUGAAAGCCCCCGGCUCAACCGGGGAGGGUCAUUGGAAACUGGGAAACUUGAGUGCAGAAGAGGAGAGUGGAAUUCCACGUGUAGCGGUGAAAUGCGUAGAGAUGUGGAGGAACACCAGUGGCGAAGGCGACUCUCUGGUCUGUAACUGACGCUGAGGAGCGAAAGCGUGGGGAGCGAACAGGAUUAGAUACCCUGGUAGUCCACGCCGUAAACGAUGAGUGC